GGAGAUGUGGCUUAAUUUGACUCAACGCGGAAAAGCUUAUCUGGUCCGGACACAGUGAGGAUUGACAGACAGUUGGCAGGAGUGGUUCUUGGUAAAAACAAAUGAGAGAGUUGAAGUUCUUUCAUGAUCUUGUGAGAGGUGGUGCAUGGCCGUUCUUAGUUCGUGUAGUGAUAUGUCUGCCUAAUCGCGUCACGAUAACCUAUUGGUCGACAACCCAAUUAUCACAACUGCAGCAUAACUCCCCUUGGGUGGGCGAGGCUCUGUGUAGGAUAGACCUCUGAACAGUACGCAACGAACGCGAUCGUAAUCCCUUGUUGAGUGGCCAUCCUGUAAGCUGCUGGAUUUGAAACCCAGUGGUAUUAUCUCAGCCACAGAUUUUCUGGUUGUAAUGGGCCAGUUUUGAAACUCGGGGAACAUCUGUGACUUUCUUUCUUAACGCAGAGGAAGGUUAUGGCAAUAACA
rnacentral:rRNA from 1 species